rnacentral:rRNA from 1 species
GACAGAGGGUGCAAACGUUGUUCGGAAUUACUGGGCGUAAAGGGCUCGUAGGUGGCCAACUAAGUCGGACGUGAAAUCCCUCAGCUUAACUGGGGAACUGCGUCCGAUACUGGAUGGCUUGGAUUUGGGAGAGGGAUGCGGAAUUCCAGGUGUAGCGGUGAAAUGCGUAGAUAUCUGGAGGAACACCGGUGGCGAAGGCGGCAUCCUGGACCAAUAUUGACGCUGAGGAGCGAAAGCCAGGGGAGCAAACGGG